UACGUAGGGGGCAAGCGUUGUCCGGAAUCAUUGGGCGUAAAGAGCGUGUAGGCGGUUCGGUAAGUCGGCUGUGAAAGUCCAGGGCUCAACCCUGGAAUGCCAGUGGAAACUGUCGGGCUGGAGUCCGGAAGAGGCGAGUGGAAUUCCUGGUGUAGCGGUGAAAUGCGCAGAUAUCAGGAGGAACACCAAUGGCGAAGGCAGCUCGCUGGGACGGUACUGACGCUGAGACGCGAAAGCGUGGGGAGCAAACAGG
rnacentral:rRNA from 1 species